GGGCUCAUAGCUCAGCUGGUUAGAGCACUUGACUCAUAAUCAAGGUGUCCCAGGUUCAAGUCCUGGUGGGCCCACAA
rnacentral:tRNA from 1 species